CCUAGGAUUUACGAUUUGGUUGAAGAAGAAGAAGGAUCCGAGUCUAGCGACGACAAGGCGAAGAAGAAGAGGGAUAAAAAGAAGAAGAAGCGGAAGAGAGAUUCUGAUGAAUACUAUACAAAGCCCGCCAAGGAUUAUUACUUGGAUACUCGUCCUGAUCCGGAUAAUCUUGCUUAUAACUCCAUCUACAGGACUAAAAAUCAUUAAAGCCAUAGAUCAGCUCCAGAAAAAUUGAAGAACAUAGUAUACAAGGAGAUCCUCAACCAUCUCCGUUCUCAUGAAACGAUCAACAUAAACAAAUGAAAGCUAAACUUCAUCUUGAUGAUUGUUAUGUCACUACUUCAAGGGUCUCACUCAAAGAGAUCCCAUCACAUCCACACGACCUCUUCUUUGGAUUUCGGAUGUUCACCAUCUUAUCUAUGAUUUCUACUUUCCAUCUUUUGUAUUCGAUCUUUUUUUUUUUUGAAUAAGAGUUUACAUGAGAUUGUUCGCAUGCUUCUGCUAAUAUACAUGAUUUAUAUCUAUUUCCAGAAUUUUCAAUCCCAA